GGACGUGUGGUGUAGUUUGGCUUAACACACCUCCCUGUCACGGAGGAGACCGCGGGUUCGAAUCCCGUCACGUCCG
rnacentral:tRNA from 1 species